AACAUCAAGCAUGAUGAUGGGCUAAGAGCAGUGGCUGAAUACCUGAAAGAUGGGUAAAGAAGUCACAUUCCUGGACCUAAAGAUACAAAUAAAAGAAAAUGGGACAUUAGAAACUGAUGUCCAUAGGAAAGAAACUGCGGUCAAUGCACUACUGCAUGCUGAAUCCUCCCAUCUAAAAUCCACCAUAGAUGGAAUACCCAUUGGGCAAUUCGCACGGAUAAAGAGGAUUUGCUCCAAUGAGAAAACUUACGUGAGAAUGUCGAGUGAUGGAUGGCUGGAUUCCUGCGUCCAGUAUGGUUCAUUGAAAUAUGAGGAGGAAAA